AUGGCGGUGCCCGGUCUGGAUCGAGGGGAGGAUCCCCUCGAGCCCGAGCUCCUCUCGCAUCACCGCCGCCCCCGCUCGCGCCGGAGCUGCCCCUGGUCGCGCCGCCGCGGCCUCUGCUCGCGGCCCAAGAUCGGCGACAGGGCGACGAGCGACGUGGUGGUGCGACUGCGGAUGCCGGACUCGGGCCGGGACGAAUGGCUCUACUGCCACUCCGGCGUGCUCGCCGCCGGGAGCGGCUACUUCGCCGACCGCCUCUCCGACGCCUGGCCGACGUGCCAGAUCCUGCUUGAGGCCGCCGACCCCGUCUCCCGCUUCGGAUUCAGCGGCGCGCUCGCCUUGCUCGAGGCCGCCGCGCACCUCGGCUGCGCCCGCACCGCCGCCGCCUGCGCCGACUACCUCGAGUCCGCCCCCUGGGAUGAGGCCGACGAGGAGGAGAUCCUCGCCGCCAGCCACGCGCUCGCCUUCUUGCUGCCGGGAUACCCGUGCAUGCCGUCCUCCACGGGACGCGGCUCCCUUGCCACUCGGCGUCCCGCUGGUGAGCCCACCGUCGAGCAGCCGCUCCGGCCGUGCCGAGGCGCUCGGGCUCGCGAGUCCUCCCUGGUGACUCAUUCGAGGAUGAGCGCGACGGGAUCUCUUCUUGCCACUACUACCAGGGGAGAGAAGGGGGGCAAGAUCGGCGGGGCAGAGUUCUUUCGGAAGGACGGCGUGGUGGGCGACAUGGACGGAUACCUCAACUACCUGUCCCUCGAGUAUGACUUCGUCUCGGACACCAAUCCUGCUUGGGUAUCUUCAUUUUGGAAGCAGGAAUCCUUUCCUCAUAAGAUGGAUGAGCUGUAG
rnacentral:rRNA from 1 species